rnacentral:rRNA from 1 species
UACGGAGGGAGCUAGCGUUGUUCGGAUAUACUGGGCGUAAAGCGCACGUAGGCGGCGCCGUAAGUCAGGGGUGAAAUCCCGGAGCUCAACUCCGGAACUGCCCUUGAAACUGCAGUGCUAGAAUUCUGGAGAGGCGAGUGGAAUUCCGAGUGUAGAGGUGAAAUUCGUAGAUAUUCGGAAGAACACCAGUGGCGAAGGCGACUUACUGGACACAUAUUGACGCUGAGGUGCGAAAGCGUGGGGAGCAAACUGG